rnacentral:rRNA from 1 species
AUUGGGAGAACUAUGGUUAAGGAACUCGGCAAAUUGCAUCCGUAACUUCGGGAGAAGGAUGACCUUAUUAGGGUGAUAAGACCUUGCGUCUUUGAGCCUGACGAGGUGACACAAACCAGAGGAAAGCGACUGUUUACUAAAAACACAGCAGCGUGCUAAGUCCUAAGACGACGUAUACGCUGUGACGCCUGCCCGGUGCUGGAAGGUUACGGGGAAGGGUUAGCCUUCGGGCGAAGCUCUGAACCUAAGCCCCAGUAAACGGNNNNNNNNNNUCCGACCUGCACGAAUGGCGUAACGACUUUCCUACUGUCUCAACCAUAGACCCAGCGAAAUUGAAGUACGAGUAAAGAUGCUCGUUAGCUGCAGAAGGACGGAAAGACCCCGUGGACCUUUACUACAGCUUGGUAUUGGUAUUUGUUAUGCGUUGUGUAGGAUAGGUGGGAGACUUUGAAGCGUUGGCGCUAGCCGAUGUGGAGUCAACCUUGAAAUACCACCCUGCGUUUGACGGAUAUCUAACCUGGGCCCGUAAUCCGGGCUGGGAACAGUGCCAGGUGGGUAGUUUGACUGGGGCGGUC